ensembl:lncRNA
CAAAGACUGGGCAGCACAACAUAAUUAAGAAGCGACUGACUUCUGGGAAAAGAUGGAAAGAGCUCAGAGUCUGAGAGCUGUGUGGCAGAAAACCCUGGAAGGAGGUGAUCACCAUUUCCAAGAAUUGAAAUUCAGUAACUAAAAGGCUAGAAGAGGACCUUCUUGGGGAGCUGGGAGUGGUUCAAAAGAGCCCAGGAAGCCUGGGAGAGUCUGAGAGGUCUGAGCUGGCUGUGUGACCCCAGACCAGUUAAUUAACCCUUCUGAACAUCACUUUUCUUGACUCUGAAAGAGGAGUACUGGAGUGCCCACCAUGUGAGUCUGCUCUCUGAAUCAAAUAGAACCAUGCCUGAGUAGCGUUCAGCGUAGGACUCGGCACAUGGACAGGAAGUGGCUUCUUUCCCAGUGACUCGUGGCAUUUCCUUUGCCCAGAGGAGUGACUGGCAUCACCCCGACGACCUAAUCCUGAGCGUGGCACGAGCGCCGAUGACACCACCUGCUAAACAACUGGAUAUGCAUGGAAUGGCCAGCUAAGAAAGCAUGCGUUCUGGAUUGUGUAUGUGCCUCAAGCAUGUGGUCAGUCAGAUUCGCACCUGGGACUUUUGUUAGAGGUCUUAGGACAGGUGUGUGUUCACAUGUGUUUACUUUGGACUCGCCAGCCAUGAGGAUCGUUUAGGCCUGAAGCUAGAGAUGACCACUGUCCAGUCCAAUGGAAGGAGUCUACCUGAAGAUGACAACAACAUAGAGGAAAAGAGAGCCGAGAAAUGCAGAAUGGCGUGCGCCUGCUGACUACACCGGAUGCCUGGACCCAGCUGUGCCCGAAGUCAGAAGUCAAUCUGGAUGUGUCAGUGACGACAACAAUGAAUUCCUUUUUAUUCCUAAAGCAGAUUGACAGAUGCUGCUGUUGCUUGCGGCUGCAGUGGUCUUGCUAUUACACCCUCCUCCAUCUGAUCUGAACUCCAAAUGGAGAGCCUUCCAGAGAGCUGUGUGCCCCCCAGGAGUGAGUUUGAUGGGAAUCUAUCUUGAAGAAUGUGGACACUAAAGAGGUAUGGGACUUGGGACCACAGAGAGUCUGGGAGAGGCCCAGCCUGUGCCUGUUUGAUGAGACUUCCAGCAUCUCAAGAAAUAAAAAUGAAGAACUGACAAAGGCCACCAAAAAUUAGGGAAUAUUUUCAAUGUCUACAGUGAAUGAAAUAAGAACUUGAAUACUAAUUAUGUAUUAGUAUUAGUAACAAACACACUAAUUACUGUCCACCACAGUGACGUUGCGUUGUGUACAGCAUUGCAGGGUUUGUAAGACACCAUAUCUCAGAAUGAACUACAGCCAGCAUGGUCUCUGGAUGGGGCACAGGUGGUGGUGUUCAAAUGUCCCUUAGACACCUCGCUCCAGC